GUAGGGGGCAAGCGUUGUCCGGAUUCAUUGGGCGUAAAGAGCGUGUAGGCGGCCAGACAGGUCCGUUGUGAAAACUCGAGGCUCAACCUCGAGACGUCGAUGGAAACCGUCGGGCUAGAGUCCGGAAGAGGAGAGUGGAAUUCCUGGUGUAGCGGUGAAAUGCGCAGAUAUCAGGAGGAACACCCGUGGCGAAAGCGGCUCUCUGGGACGGUACUGACGCUGAGACGCGAAAGCGUGGGGAGCGAACAGGAUUAGAUACCCUGGUAGUCCACGCCGUAAACGAUGGGUGCUAGGUGUGGGCGGUGUCGACUCCGUCCGUGCCGAAGCUAACGCAUUAAGCACCCCGCCUGGGGAGUACGGCCGCAAGGCUAAA
rnacentral:rRNA from 1 species